UACGUAGGGUCCGAGCGUUGUCCGGAUUUACUGGGCGUAAAGAGCGCGCAGGCGGUCGUACAAGUCGCGUGUGAAAGCCCCCGGCUCAACUGGGGAGGGUCACGCGAUACUGUUCGACUCGAAGGCAGGAGAGGGAAGUGGAAUUCCCGGUGUAGUGGUGAAAUGCGUAGAGAUCGUAAGGAAGACCAGUGGCGAAGGCGGGUCUCUGGACAGUUCCUGACACUGAGGCACGAAGGCCAGGGGAGCAAACGGG
rnacentral:rRNA from 1 species